rnacentral:misc_RNA from 1 species
GCCUAAUCAAACAAAAAGAAGAAAGAACUUGGGGUUGAUAUGCUCACAUGGCUAGCAAGAAUGUAGAGGAGGAGAUUGUAGGCUGCCCCAGACCAAGCAGUCUUGGCUAUCACACCAGUGCUUUUAACAAUCCGGCGAUUCAAAGGAAACAUAACAUAAAUUCGAGGUAUGUAUUGAAGGAGAACCGCCAAAGAAACUGUAUGAUUUGCAUGGUUGGCUGAUCGGACUUUAUUCACUUUUGAAAUUGUGGACCAAAUCAUAAUCUG